AUGAACCCGCGAGAGCGGAAGAGUUCCGGAGAACAACCGCGCUGUGUGUCGAUGCAAUUUACGAGAGAUUAAGACCAGCAAGUAAGGCAACUGCAAUGAAGCAUCAAGAAAGACAUGAGCACGCUAACCACUCUGAGACUGAUAGUUCAUGAGAAGGCAUUUCUGUCACUGACAAAGUGGAUGGUGAGCAAAGGUGGUGGCCACGUUUUGGAGCAGACCUGGGUUUUGCAGAUGGCUGUGUAUUCUUUGGUUGCAUGUCUUUUUCUCCAUUAUGUUUCUGUUGCCUAUAUUCUUUGUGAGGAUACAAC